CGCCUCCUGCAAACAACGACGUAUAGGAGGUCUUGCCUGCCCAGUGACAAUGUUAAACGGCCGCGGUAUUUUGACCGUGCGAAGGUAGCGCAAUCACUUGUCUUUUAAAUGAAGACCUGUAUGAAUGGUGAAACGAGGGCUUAACUGUCUCCCUUCUCUAGUCAAUGAAAUUGAUCUGCCCGUGCAGAAGCGGACAUAAUAAUACAAGACGAGAAGACCCUUUGGAGCUUAAGAUAUAAAGAUCAUCUAUGUCAAUGAGCCCCAACACGGCAACAAACUAAAUAGCAACUGAUCUUAAUCUUCGGUUGGGGCGACCACGGGAGAAAACAAAGCUCCCACGCGGACUGGGGUAAACCCUAAAACCAAGAAAAACAUUUCUAAGUAACAGAACUUCUGACCAUUAAGAUCCGGCUAAACGCCGACCAACGGACCAAGUUACCCUAGGGAUAACAGCGCAAUCCCCUUUCAGAGUCCAUAUCGACAAGGGGGUUUACGACCUCGAUGUUGGAUCAGGACAUCCUAAUGGUGCAGCCGCUAUUAAGGGUUCGUUUGUUCAACGAUUAAAGUCCU
rnacentral:rRNA from 1 species